AUGUUUGAAGAGGAGCGGGAGUUUGGGCUAUGCUGUUGGUCUGUCUCCGGAUUGCAUGAGAGCUCUGUUGAUGAAGGGGAACUGGCUGGGCUUGGCAUGAGUUCCAGCAGAAGCAGAAAGGAGAGAUCAUCACCCAAGCAGCUUCAGCAGGUGGGGAGGUCCCACCAAGACCCCACUGAAAGCCAGGGAAGCCCUAAGCAGGGCAGGAACUGUGUCCCUCGCCUCUUCCUGUGGCCCGGAUUACUUGCCAGUUUCUGAGACUCUCUACAUGUGAAUAGGCAGCCUCCCACCUUCCAGGAGCAGCAGACCUGACAAGCCAAGGUGAAAAACCAGCCUCCCCUGUCCUGCAAACACCCCAGAAAACCGGCACUUGAAGCUGGAUCCCAAAGACAGAGGCACUCAGGGAGGACUGUUAUGGCUCGGACACUGAGGAAGGGACUCCAGUCAGCCGUUUCGAGACUGGUGAACCUAAGGUGCGCAGUGUUCCUUCAACCUCCCUCUGGCUUAGGAACCCCCCUCCACCUCCUGAAGAGCACCUUCAGAACAGCUGAGGAUUGCUAAAUGCCAUAAAAGUAUGUGCAGCAGGAAGUGAAUGCCUUCCAAGUCAAUAGACAGCAGUUCCAGACAGCCACGGUCUUCAUUAAGCCCAGAGAGAGGCGGUGUCAGACAGGAAGUGUCAUGUGUCAGAGCAAAGUGGAGGCAUUAAGGGUGACUUAACCAAUUGCCUUGUCAUGAGGAAUCCAUGACUGUCCCACCAGCAAUGAGAACAUCCUGGGGAGGUUCUGCUUCAGUGGUGCAGAAGGAAGAACAACGCUUUGUCCUCAAAGAGCCCUGAAUCCCAGGAGGGGCCCCAUGCACAGAACACCCACCCCACAGCAGCUCCACCCCCUCAGCUCACGUCACUGAUUCAUUCCCAGAGGCAAGGAGAACUCUGCGAGCUCAACAGGUAUGCUACUGCCAGGCGUGUCCCUGACCUUGGGAAGCAUGAUGAGCCUUUGAUGUUGUUCAAAGCAAAUUAUUUUUAAAAUAUAAAUAAACCUAAAUUAAAAAAAACAAAAAUGGAUACGUUGAUACAAGUAUGUAUGUGCACGCUCAGUCAUUCAGUUGUGUCUGACUCUUUGUGACCCCGUAGACUGUAACCCACCAGGCUCCUCUGUUUAUUUACUUUUCCAAGCAAGAAUACUGAAAUGGGUUGCCAUUUUCUUCUCCAUUGAUUCAGAUACACUUGUCUUUAAGAACCCUCAAUACAAAAAAUAUAUGAAUGUAUACAGGGGAUACACUGCAGGGUUUUUUCCUAUUUAUUUUACAAACAGAGCUUUCACUGCAUUAGUCUGCUCAGGUUGUCAUGACAAAACACACAGACUGGGCAGCUUAAACACAGAAAUUCAUUUCUCAUGGUUCAGAGGCUGGGAAGUCCGCGAUCAAGGUUCCAACAUGGUAGGUUUCAUGGUGCAGCCUCUCCUCCUGGCAGGGUAGUAGCUACCAUCCUGCUGUGUGCUCACAUGACUUCUCUGAAUACAGGGAGAGAGAGAAAGACAGAUCAUAAGAGCUCUGGCAUCUCCUCUGAUAUGGAGACUAAUCCCUUAGGUCCAGGGCCCCACCAUUGUGACCUUAUGUAACCUUAACAACAUCCUUAGAGGAACCAUCUCCAAACACCGUGACACUCAAUUUACACCCAACAUUUCUGUCCCUUCAACCCAACUAGAGUCUUCGUGCCCUGGUGUUUCUCUUUUUCCAUGUUUUCUAUAAUUUCCCUUGCCG
ensembl:lncRNA